GCUCCGGUGACCUAGUGGAUAGAUUGUCUGCCUCAGAUGCUGAAGGUCGCCGGUUCGGACACCGGCCGACUCAUAGCA